rnacentral:lncRNA from 1 species
AGAGAACAUGAUGCCAAGAUGCAUGAAAAAAAACUUUGAACUGAAAGCUCUGCAUCUUUUUUUGUUAUUUCAGUCAUUUCUCAUUUGGAAUUUGGGAGAAAUGUUGUCUGUAGUUUAUAGAAUAAAACAACAAUGUUCAUUUUACAUAAAUAGCAGAAUCAGAGAAACGGAUUCAGAAACUGAUAUUAUAAUGGGUAAUGUUCGUUUUUCUUUAUCAGUAUGUCUCAGAGGUGGUGAUUGGAGCGCCGUACACUGUUUCAAAAGAUUUGCUGGAUCAUUUCAAGGUGGAUCUUGUUUGUCAUGGGAAGACUGAGGUGUUUCCAGACAGAGAUGGAUCAGACCCGUAUACUGUACCCAGGAGGAAAGGGAUUCUGCGGAUCGUGGACAGCGGGAACAGCCUCACCACUGACGACAUCGUACAGAGGAUCAUCAAAAACAGGUGAGGAGAUUUUUAGUUUUUAGCAUCACAUGUGAGUAAAAUUUACUCAGAGAACAGCAGCUCCUCUGUCGUUAAACAAACAAAUGCUAAAAACUAAAAAUUUAGCUUAGCUAAUGUUACUAUCCUAGCCCUGUACAGCUCGUACAGUAAAAAUGAACUUAAACCUGCCGUAUUCCAGCUCUCGCUGCCGGUGUUGUGUCGAUUUGUGCUGCCCAUCGAUACAUGCUUCCUAAAGGCACUGCGUAAGUGCUGACUAUAAUAAAUCAGUUUUGUUUU